AUGACAGAUCAGGCCACCUCCUUUGCCCAGGACUUCCUGGCUGGAUGCCUCACUGCAGCCAUCUCCAUGAUGCUGUGGCCCCCAGCGAGUGGGUCAAGCUGCUGCUGCAGGUGCAACGUGCCAGUGAGCAGAUCAUGCCUGACAAGUGGGUCAAUGGCAUCAUGGACUGCAUGGUCCGUAUACCCAAGGAGCAGGGUGUGCUGUUCUUCUGGGUGGGCAAUCUGGCCAAUGCCAUUCGCUACUUUCCCACUUAAGUCCUCAACUUUGCCUUCAGGUAUAAGUACAAGUAGGUCUUCCUGGGGCGGCGGGGAGGAGGGGGCGUGUGGACAAGCACAUGCAGUUCUGAAGGUAUUUUUCAGGAACCUGGACUCUGGAGGGGCAGCCCAGGCCUCCUCUCACUGCCUUAUCUACCCCUGGAUUUUUCCAGAACCCAUCUGGCAGCCAGGAAAUUGGGCACAACGUGGGAGCUCGAAGGCCUGGGAGAUUUUCUGGGGAAGAUUACCAAGUCUGAUGGGAUCUGGGGCCUCUAUCAAAGCUUAGUGUCUUAGGCCGGGCACCAUCAUCUACCUGGUGACCUCCCUCAGUGUGUACAAUACAGCCAAAGGUGCACUCCCUGACCUCAAGAACACUUGUAUCGUGGUGAACUGGAUGAUUGCCCAGACGUGAUGGCCAUGAUCUAGUGUGGCAUCGUAACCAUUCAAUACUGUGUGGAGGUGGAUGAUGAUGCAGUGCUGGCACAAAGGAGCUGAUGUCAGGUACAUGGGGAUCCUAGAUUGUUGGACGAAGAUCUUGAAAGACGAAGAGAGCAAAGCCUUCUUCAAGGGCGCAUGGUCUAACAUCCUCAGAGGCAUGGAGUGAGCCUUCAUACUGGUUCUAACGAUGAAAGUCAUCUAG
rnacentral:lncRNA from 1 species